UCCGGGUUGAUCCUGCCAGAGGUUACUGCUAUCGGUGUUCGACUAAGCCAUGCGAGUCAUAUGUUCUUCGUGAACAUGGCGGACUGCUCAGUAACACGUGGAUAACCUGCCCUUAGGUUUGGCAUAACUCCGGGAAACUGGAGAUAAUUCCGAAUAGGUCACAUAUGCUGGAAUGCUUUUUGACCAAAAGACCUCGGUUGCCUAAGGAUGGAUCUGCGGUCUAUCAAGUAGUAGUGGGUGUAACGUACCUACUAGCCUACGACGGAUAUGGGUUGUGAGAGCAAGAGCCCAGAGAUGGAUUCUGAGACAUGAAUCCAGGCCCUACGGGGCGCAGCAGGCGCGAAAACUUUACAAUGCGGGAAACCGCGAUAAGGGGACACCGAGUGCCAGCAUUUAUGUUGGCUGUCCACAUGUGUAAACGGCAUGUGUUAGCAAGGGCCGGGCAAGACCGGUGCCAGCCGCCGCGGUAACACCGGCGGCCCGAGUGGUAAUCACUUUUAUUGGGUCUAAAGGGUCCGUAGCCGGUUUGAUCAGUUCUUCGGGAAAUCUGACAGCUCAACUGUUAGGCUUCCGGGGAAUACUGUCAGACUUGGGACCGGGAGAGGUAAGAGGUACUACAGGGGUAGGAGUGAAAUCUUGUAAU
rnacentral:rRNA from 1 species